rnacentral:rRNA from 1 species
GUCCCAGUUCGGAUUGCAGGCUGCAACCCGCCUGCAUGAAGCUGGAAUCGCUAGUAAUCGCGGAUCAGAAUGCCGCGGUGAAUACGUUCCCGGGUCUUGUACACACCGCCCGUCACACCAUGGGAGUCGGUAACGCCCGAAGUCAGUGACCCAACCGAGAGGAGGGAGCUGCCGAAGGCGGGACUGGUAACUGGGGUGAAGUCGUAACAAGGUACC